rnacentral:rRNA from 1 species
CCUACGGGAGGCAGCAGUGGGGAAUAUUGGACAAUGGGCGCAAGCCUGAUCCAGCCAUGCCGCGUGAGUGAUGAAGGCCUUAGGGUUGUAAAGCUCUUUUGCCAGGGAAGAUAAUGACUGUACCUGGAGAAUAAGCCCCGGCUAACUUCGUGCCAGCAGCCGCGGUAAUACGAAGGGGGCUAGCGUUGUUCGGAAUCACUGGGCGUAAAGCGCACGUAGGCGGACUUUUAAGUCAGGGGUGAAAGCCUGAGGCUCAACCUCAGAACUGCCCUUGAUACUGGGAGUCUUGAGUAUGGUAGAGGUUGGUGGAACAGCAAGUGUAGAGGUGAAAUUCGUAGAUAUUUGCUAGAACACCAGUGGCGAAGGCGGCCAACUGGACCAUAACUGACGCUGAGGUGCGAAAGCGUGGGGAGCAAACGAGGUAUUAGACUACCCGUGGUAGUCCACGCCGUAAACGAUGGUAGUGCUAGACGUACGUACGACGCUCGUCGUGGUAGGUGGUCGCGACGGUAACCGUUAACGUACGACUCCGUCCGUCGGGUAGGUACGGUACGGACGACGAAGUUAAACGUUAAACGUAAGUAAGUAGUUACGGUUCGUGAGACGUCGACGACGGACGACGACGGAGGGAGGAGG